CCUAUUUCUAAAGCGUUGCUGCCAUUUUCCACCUGCAGCUGCAGAGUCCGCAACUUGUGGGCAGUGGGCGUGGUCUGUCCAGGACACAUGGAUUCUACUGCGCAUGUGCAGAGGACCACUCCAGCGGCACUUGGCGUCUCCCUGGUGACUCAUCCUCUGCAGCGCCUCCCAGCCAUUUAUUGGUCGCUUGUAAAUCUCCAUUUAUGAUGAGCCUGAUCAAACUUCUUUGUCCGUGUUGUUCAUCAUGUUACUCGAUUGUAAGUUUUUUUAAUUUGUACAAGAAUUUGCCAGAUACAUGAAUUGUAAAUAUUUUCUUGCCUAUUCAUUUUCUUAAUAGUAUCUUUGAUGAAGUAUUUAAUUUUGAUCUUUUUUCUUUCUAUGAUUAGUGCAUUCUGGGUCCUAGCUAAGAAAUCGUUUUCUAAUUCAAGGUGGUGAAGUUAUUCUGCUAUACUGGAAUAGGUAUUCUGCUGUUGUCCUUUAGAAAUGAAACUUUUAUUUUUAUUUUUUUAGAAAUGAAACUUUUAGUUUUAAUUUUUAGGUUUCUUACAUAUCUCUAAUUUUGCUUUUAUAAAUGCAGGUUUUGGAAAAUGCAGGAAGAAAAAUUUCUAAAUGUAGUAUUUCACAAUGCUUUUAUAAUUAUAAUACCAUUAUAUUAUGCCAAUUAAAAAUAAUAACCUGAGAAGGAAAUGGAAACCACUGCAGUAUUCUUGCCUAGGAAAUCAGCAUGGACAGUGAAGCCUGGUGGGCUACAACCACAACGUAGCAACUAAACAACAAUAACAACAACAAAUAAUAAAGGAAACUCUGCUUCAUGUGUUAGAUAACACUUUUGUAACCUCUAUUAUGACCAAGAGUCUUGACAAAGUUUUCACCUGAAUUUAUUUAGGCUCUUAGGAUUUAAGAAGUCUCUGGACAAUGAACCGAGAAAUGCUAAGAAUCCAAAAUGUGGUUUAUAUAUAGCAGUGGUUUCAACCAGGGUAGGAGACAUUUGGCAAUGUUUACAGAUAUUUUUGUUGUUACCAGUGGGGGUGUGUG
rnacentral:lncRNA from 1 species